GGCGAACGCAGAGCACGGAGGACGGGGCCAGGCGACCUGGGCACCAGCAGGACCUGAGGCCAGGAGCCGGGGGCCCAGAAGAUUGAGCUUCUAGAGCCUCAGAGAUGGAAUUCGCUGUUUUGCCGCGAUUUGACAUUAAAUUAUUGACCGAUGGGGAGGAGGGUAACUUCCCCCGAAAAGGUAUAAAAUGAAGUUGUCAGUCUCUCUUUUUAAUUAAAAAAAAAAUCUCUGCAAAGAUUCUGCAUUCUGGCUUUUCUUUGCGAAAUUGAAGUGGCAUGUGUUUUUAUUUUAGAAGGCAGAGAUGUUUUGCUGUGCCCGGUGUGAGGAAGCGAAGGAAAAGAAAGAUCUUUUGAAAAUGUGUGCAUCUACUUGCAGCUUAGAAAUUCCAAGUGCCAGACAUUCUUCUUGGAGGAAAUAAAUGUCUCAAUUUAUUAAUCUUA